rnacentral:snRNA from 1 species
GCUUCAGUGGUACACAGACUAGAACUGGAAAAAUAAAAGACCAGUGUGGCCUCUAAGCAAAGAUAACAUGCAGAUUAGUGUGAGGCAUUUCAAA